rnacentral:lncRNA from 1 species
CUCCCUAUCACAUACUAUAUAAUACAAAUAAUUAUAUGCAAAUUAUAAUAUGUACAAACUUUCACAGCAAUUUGCAAAUGUAAAAAAUGAAGUAUUGCUUACACUUGCUGCACAGAAAAAUCUAUUAUGGUCAAAAAAAUUUCUUUUGGAAUAGGUCAUCUUCACUCCUCUUUUUGAAAGCUUAUCGAUUUUCUUUGGGUUAUCCUUACACCUUAUUUUGUUCUUGAUAGCUAUGUCUGACCUUGACCGCACGUGACUUUACUGAGGACCACCUCGAGUAUCUUGGGGAUUGAUGAGUC